UACGUAGGGGGCUAGCGUUGUCCGGAAUCAUUGGGCGUAAAGAGCUCGUAGGCGGUCUGUCGCGUCUGCUGUGAAAUCUCAGGGCUUAACCCUGAGCUUGCAGUGGGUACGGGCAGACUAGAGUGCGGUAGGGGAGACUGGAAUUCCCGGUGUAGCGGUGAAAUGCGCAGAUAUCGGGAGGAACACCGGUGGCGAAGGCGGUUCUCUGGGCCUUACCUGACGCUGAGGAGCGAAAGCGUGGGGAGCGAACAGG
rnacentral:rRNA from 1 species